rnacentral:rRNA from 1 species
CCCUUAGAUGUCCGGGGCUGCACGCGCGCUACACUGAAGGAAUCAGCGUGCUAAAACCAUUGUCGAAAGGCAUUGGUAAACCCAUUAAAAUCCUACGUGAUUGGGAUCGGGAAUUGCAAUUAUUUCCCUUGAACGAGGAAUUCCCAGUAAGUGUGGGUCAUAAGCUCGCGUUGAUUACGUCACUGCCCUUUGUACACACCGCCCGUCGCUGCCCGGGACUGAGCCGUUUCGAGAAAAGCGGGGACUGCUGCUGUCGGGGCUUUCGGGCCUUGGCUUCGGUGGAAACCGCUUUAAUCGCAGUGGCUUGAACCGGGCAAAAGUCGUAACA